GGCUCACGAUGAACGCUAGCUACAGGCUUAACACAUGCAAGUCGAGGGGCAGCAUGGUCUUAGCUUGCUAAGGCCGAUGGCGACCGGCGCACGGGUGAGUAACGCGUAUCCAACCUGCCUUACACUCUUGGACAGCCUUCUGAAAGGGAGAUUAAUACAAGAUGUUAUCAUGAGUAAGCAUUUUCGCAUGAUUAAAGGUUUACCGGUGUAAGAUGGGGAUGCGUUCCAUUAGAUAGUAGGCGGGGUAACGGCCCACCUAGUCUUCGAUGGAUAGGGGUUCUGAGAGGAAGGUCCCCCACAUUGGAACUGAGACACGGUCCAAACUCCUACGGGAGGCAGCAGUGAGGAAUAUUGGUCAAUGGACGAGAGUCUGAACCAGCCAAGUAGCGUGAAGGAUGAAGGUUCUAUGGAUUGUAAACUUCUUUUAUACGGGAAUAAACGAAUCCACGUGUGGAUUUUUGCAUGUACCGUAUGAAUAAGGAUCGGCUAACUCCGUGCCAGCAGCCGCGGUAAUACGGAGGAUCCGAGCGUUAUCCGGAUUUAUUGGGUUUAAAGGGAGCGUAGAUGGGUUGUUAAGUCAGUUGUGAAAGUUUGCGGCUCAACCGUAAAAUUGCAAUUGAUACUGGCAGUCUUGAGUACAGUUGAGGUAGGCGGAAUUCGUGGUGUAGCGGUGAAAUGCUUAGAUAUCACGAAGAACUCCGAUUGCGAAGGCAGCUUACUAACCUGUAACUGACAUUGAUGCUCGAAAGUGUGGGUAUCAAACAGGAUUAGAUACCCUGGUAGUCCACACGGUAAACGAUGAAUACUCGCUGUAGGCGAUAUACAGUCUGCGGCCAAGCGAAAGCAUUAAGUAUUCCACCUGGGGAGUACGCCGGCAACGGUGAAACUCAAAGGAAUUGACGGGGGCCCGCACAAGCGGAGGAACAUGUGGUUUAAUUCGAUGAUACGCGAGGAACCUUACCCGGGCUUAAAUUGCAACCGAAUAUGGCGGAAACGCUAUAGCUAGCAAUAGCGGUUGUGAAGGUGCUGCAUGGUUGUCGUCAGCUCGCGCCGUGAGGUGUCGGCUUAAGUGCCAUAACGAGCGCAACCCUUGCCGAUAGUUACUAACAGGUUAUGCUGAGGACUCUGUCGGGACUGCCAUCGUAAGAUGUGAGGAAGGUGGGGAUGACGUCAAAUCAGCACGGCCCUUACGUCCGGGGCUACACACGUGUUACAAUGGGGGGUACAGAGGGCUGCUACCACGCAAGUGGAUGCCAAUCCCAAAAACCUCUCUCAGUUCGGAUUGAAGUCUGCAACCCGACUUCAUGAAGCUGGAUUCGCUAGUAAUCGCGCAUCAGCCACGGCGCGGUGAAUACGUUCCCGGGCCUUGUACACACCGCC
rnacentral:rRNA from 1 species